AUUGAACGCUGGCGGCAUGCCUAACACAUGCAAGUCGAACGGCAGCAUGGUCUAGCUUGCUAGACUGAUGGCGAGUGGCGAACGGGUGAGUAACGCGUAGGAAUAUACCUUAUAGAGGGGGAUAACCUGGGGAAACUCAGGCUAAUACCGCAUGUUAUCUAAGGAUUAAAGCUGGGGACCUUAGGGCCUGGCGCUAUAAGAAUAGCCUGCGUCCGAUUAGCUAGUUGGUGGGGUAAAGGCCUACCAAGGCGACGAUCGGUAGCUGGUCUCGAGAGGAUGAUCAGCCACACUGGGACUGAGACACGGCCCAGACUCCUACGGGAGGCAGCAGUGGGGAAUAUUGGACAAUGGGGGCGAACCCUCGAUCCAGCAAUGCCGCGUGUG
rnacentral:rRNA from 1 species